GAGCCGGAGGCGGCGGCUAUAACAGCUACGGGGACACGCAAGGUGGAGCGGAGACGUCCUCUUACGACAGCCCGCAAGGCAACACCAUAGCCCGGAUUGUGUCCCCCAUCGUGUCCGUGGUCGUGGUGGCCCUGGUGGGAGCCGGAGUGAGCUUCUUCAAGUCCAACCGGAGGGGAAACUGCCUACGGGCCAGCGACGCGGUGGACGUCUGACGACACCCACGUCCUCCCGUCACUUUGAGGAAAAACUCGAGGAAGUGAAAGAAGGUUCCCGGUCAUCGUGCUGCGAGAGCUCCUCUUAGUUUUUAGCAAAAUCUGUAGACCUGAAUUGUGUUCUUCCCCCCGCCUUGUCUAGUUUCUCUUCUGGCACUGCAGACUCGACUCAGGGCCUUCACACACAGCUGCACUCCCACUCGCUUUUAGUUUUAUUGUCUUUGAGACGGGGUCUUCCCAGGUUUCCCAGGCUGGCUCAAACUUGGAACCCUCCUGCCUCAGCCUCCCAUGGAGCCGGGAUUCCAGGUGUGUGCCACCCGGCCUGGCUCUAGAGUGUGUGCUUUGCGUUUGGAAACCCCCUUUGGGGUCGGGUGGGGCUGGGAUUUGGACUUCUGCAGUGUAGUUACUUAUUGGUGAAUUCACCUGUGGCCUUCUGGUUUUUCCUGGGGGAUCUCGCGGCUUUGACGUCUUGGGGAGGUUUUGGGGUAGAGCCUUUUGGUGGCAUUUUUUAGUCUUUGAGACUCGGUACGCAGUGAUCCCAAGGAAAUGCAGGUUUUGCUUUUAGAGAAAAGCAAAACCUAGGGUAGGGGAUCUUAGAUCUCACGAGGGCGCUAGCUCUUUGAUCCUCCUGGGGCAGAAUUUGGCAGAGAGGGAUGAAAUGGCCUUGCUUACCGGUGCGGCUCCCUUCGAAUACAGUUCAUGUUUCUGUGUCUCGGGCAACGGAACCCCAGAGGGAAUCGUUGGUUUGCCGUCUGGGAUGUGUGCAGAGGACCCUUCGAAACUCUGGACGCAGACACUGUACGAGCACCGUGAUGGGGUGGAAAGUUGAGCUCGGGGCUCAGGGAGUUCAAAGCAGAAGGGCCGCGAAAGAGAUGCGUGGCUCACACGAGAAGCAAACCGAAAUUGUGCAGCGAGAGAGGCUCACAAUUACAGAACGUGGACUCAUCCGUAACUGUUCUUCUGUACUGGGCUUUCCUAUUGAGAUACAUCCUUAGCCUUCUGCUUUUUAUCGCAACACCAGAUCUUGCUAAGUUGAGUUGCUCGGGCUGGGAUGGAAUUUGCAACCCUCCUGCCUCAGCCUCCCAGAGAGCGGGGGUGUCGGGUGUGCACGACCGUGUCCGGGUUUCUGUAUGAUUUAAGCAACCUGAACACAUGAAACAUUUCUUAUUUCCAUUGGUGGGGCUGGUGAUGCUUCUGUAUCGUUGUAAAAGUGGCGGAAUCUCGUGCUGUAUUAUAAUUUUUCUAAGCUUGACUUUCGCUCUAAGUUUCAUUUAGUCCUUGUUCGAGAAUGUGCAUGUGUGUUUGCGGUCACACGCAUACUCAUGUGUGCACUUAUCUGUACAAGCAUGCCCACAGGGGAUGUGGCAGUUUUCAACAGAAAUCCAACCAUUUUCUGUAAAUAUCGUUAAGUAUGUUUAAUCACUUAAAAUAAAAGGAAGGGCUGGAGAUGUAGCUCAGUGGCCGACUAAACACAGCAUUUCCAGGCCAUAGACCAAAAUAAACUGAAAGAAAGAAAGAAACAAACAAACCAAACCAAACCAAAACAAAACAAAAACAAGAAAGAAAAAUGUGCCUGUUACAUUGCAAUGCAUUUUUAAUAUUUCACAUGUAAAAUUUUAUGAGUCAUCCACCCAAAAUGCUUUUUUGCUUGGCAGAAUAUAUAAUAAACCUCUUUCUAAGCUGAAGCUGGGCUAAGAGCACAUAAAAUAAAUGUAGUUACAGAUUUAUUUUUUUUCUUUUUAUUGAGUUUAU